CCAAAACAGAAAGAAAACAUACAGUGGACCCUUGACUACACUUGCGAACUUUUUGAGUUGAUUCAACAUGGCUACUUUGUACCUUAAUCUCUGCAUCUUUAACCUGGUUUGCUGUCACUGGGAAAUGGUGAGAGAAAGGGGAACCAUGAUAGAGUGUAAACUUCUCUGGCAUCAACUAUCCAAGCAAACUGCACGAGAGUACAGAGUUCUGACUCCCGUCCUCUAAAGAUGUCAGCCACAGAGAUUGAUGAAAUGUUAGGAAGAAAAACCUUAAGAACGUGGUCAAACAAACUGGAAAACCCAC
rnacentral:lncRNA from 1 species